CCUUAUCCGCGUUACUGGCGAAUAAAAGCGUGAUGGGAAGGAUGGCGUGGCCAGCAGUUUUGUGGCGCUCUUGAUCCCACUGCACACUUGAAGAUGGAGCACCAUCGGGAAGCGCGGCGCUUGUGUUUUCAUGAGCAAGCGAUCAGCGGAUGUCCGCGGCCGUACGCCUGGGCAAUUUCC
rnacentral:ncRNA from 21 species